rnacentral:rRNA from 1 species
GACGAACGCUGGCGGCGUGCUUAACACAUGCAAGUCGAACGAAGUGGCGAACGGGUGAGUAACGCGUAAUCAACCUGCCCUUCAGAGGGGGACAACAGUUGGAAACGACUGCUAAUACCGCAUACUGAAGGAGGGGAUUGCGUCUGAUUAGGUAGUUGGGGGGGUAUCGGCCAACAAAGGCGAUGAUGAGUAGCCGUACUGAGAGGUUGAACGGGCACAUAGAGACAAGUAUACGGCCCAGACACCUACGGGAGGCAGCAGUGGGGAAUCUUCCGCAAUGGACGAAAGUCUGACGGAGCAACGCCGCGUGAGUGAUGACGGCCUUCGGGUUGUAAAGCUCUGUUAAUCGGGACGCGGUACCGGAAUAGAAAGCCAAGUCUAACUACGUGCCAGCAGCCGCGGUAAUAC